UACAGAGGGUGCAAGCGUUAAUCGGAAUUACUGGGCGUAAAGCGUGCGCAGGCGGUUUUGUAAGUCAGAUGUGAAAUCCCCCGGGCUUAACCUGGGAACUGCGUUUGAAACUACAAGGCUAGAGUGUGGCAGAGGGGGGUGGAAUUCCACGUGUAGCAGUGAAAUGCGUAGAGAUGUGGAGGAACACCGAUGGCGAAGGCAGCCCCCUGGGUUAACACUGACGCUCAGGCACGAAAGCGUGGGGAGCAAACAGG
rnacentral:rRNA from 1 species